rnacentral:rRNA from 1 species
CCUACGGGAGGCUGCAGUGGGGAAUAUUGGACAAUGGGCGAAAGCCUGAUCCAGCCAUGCCGCGUGUGUGAAGAAGGCCUUCGGGUUGUAAAGCACUUUCAGUGGGGAAGAAAGCCUUGGGGCUAAUACCCUCGAGGAAGGACAUCACCCACAGAAGAAGCACCGGCUAACUCCGUGCCAGCAGCCGCGGUAAUACGGAGGGUGCGAGCGUUAAUCGGAAUUACUGGGCGUAAAGCGCGCGUAGGCGGUCUGAUAAGCCGGUUGUGAAAGCCCCGGGCUCAACCCGGGAACGGCAUCCGGAACUGGCAGGCUAGAGUGCAGGAGAGGAAGGUAGAAUUCCCGGUGUAGCGGUGAAAUGCGUAGAGAUCGGGAGGAAUACCAGUGGCGAAGGCGGCCUUCUGGACUGACACUGACGCUGAGGUGCGAAAGCGUGGGUAGCAAACAGGAUUAGAUACCCUGGUAGUC